UAGGGAAUCUUCGGCAAUGGACGAAAGUCUGACCGAGCAACGCCGCGUGAGUGAAGAAGGUUUUCGGAUCGUAAAACUCUGUUGUUAGAGAAGAACAAGGAUGAGAGUAAAAUGUUCAUCCCUUGACGGUAUCUAACCAGAAAGCCACGGCUAACUACGUGCCAGCAGCCGCGGUAAUACGUAGGUGGCAAGCGUUGUCCGGAUUUAUUGGGCGUAAAGCGAGCGCAGGCGGUUUCUUAAGUCUGAUGUGAAAGCCCCCGGCUCAACCGGGGAGGGUCAUUGGAAACUGGGAGACUUGAUGCAGAAGAGGAGAGUGGAAUUCCAUGUGUAGCGGUGAAAUGCGUAGAUAUAUGGAGGAACACCAGUGGCGAAGGCGGCUCUCUGGUCUGUAACUGACGCUGAGGCUCG
rnacentral:rRNA from 1 species